UACAGGGGGUGCAAACGUUGCUCGGAAUUAUUGGGCGUAAAGCGCGCGUAGGCGGCUACUUAAGUCGGAUGUGAAAGCCCCUGGCUCAACUGGGGAAGUGCACCCGAAACUGAGUGGCUUGAGUGCGAAAGAGGGUCGCGGAAUUCCCGGUGUAGAGGUGAAAUUCGUAGAUAUCGGGAGGAACACCCGUGGCGAAGGCGGACCAGCGUAGGGCCGUCCCUGGAGCGGCCUGACGCUGGCGGCAA
rnacentral:rRNA from 1 species